rnacentral:lncRNA from 1 species
GAAAAUAAAAUACAGUUCUCGGUGGAUUAUCCAAAUGAUAACAUCGUGGCCGUUGGUGGAAGCUACAAUCAUAUUUUCACAUAUGAUACAACGCUUAUCACAUCGCUAUACUUCACAACCUCCAGGGGUUUUACCUCUCCAUUAUUCGGUGAGAAGAAGGGAACAGAUUUCGAGUUCCAAGGUGAAAAUAGAGGAAAGCUUCUCGGGUUCCAUGGACGUGCUGGCUAUGCUAUUGAUGCCAUCGGAGCUUACUUCCACACCGGUUCACAAGGCGGUGAGGGAGGUGGUCCUAAACCUGUAGUACCCGUAAAGAUGGGACCCCUAGGUGGUGACAGGGGAAACGAAUUCAACGAUGUUGGUUUCGAUGGUGUGAAGAAAGUAGCUGUGGCAGCUGAUGAAUUCAGUGUAAGAUCGAGUACGUAAAGGAUGGAAAAGUUGAAAUCCGUGAGCACGGGACAAGUCGAGGGCAAGUAAAAGAGGUAUUAAUUAAAUAUUUUGGUGACUUCUGUUAAAUAUUGAAUAUUUUUUGCUACAUAUUUAUUUGUUUCUAAUGAAAAACUUACAUACAGUUUUCGGUGGAUCAUCCAAAUGAUAACUUCACGGCCGUUGGUGGAAGCUACGAUCAUAUUUUCACAUAUGAUACAACACUUAUCACAUCAUUAUACCUCACAACCUCAAGAGGAUUUACCUCUCCUUUAUUCGGUGAGAUGAAGGGAACAGAAUUCGAGUUCAAAGGUGAAAAUGGAGAAAAGCUUAUUGGAUUCCAUGGACGUGCUGGUCAUGCUAUUGAUGCUAUUGGGGCCUACUUCGACACUGGUUCUAAACCGGGCUUUCGGUGGAUUAUCCAAAUGAUAACAUCGUGGCCGUUGGUGGAAGCUACGAUCAUAUUUUCACAUAUGAUACAACGCUUAUCAAAUCGCUAUACUUCACAACCUCCAGGGGGUUUACCUCUCCAUUAUUCGGUGAGAAGACAGGAACAGAUUUCGAGUUCCAAGGUGAAAAUAGAGGAAAGCUUCUCGGGUUCCAUGGACGUGCUGGCUAUGCUAUUGAUGCCAUUGGAGCUUACUUCCACACCGGUUCACAAGGCGGUGAGGGAGGUGACCCCAGCAAAGGUGGUCCUAAACCUGUAGUACCCGUAAAGAUGGGACCCCUAGGUGGUGACAGGGGAAACGAAUUCAACGAUGUUGGUUUCGAUGGUGUGAAGAGAGUAGCUGUGGCAGCUGAUGAAUUCAGUGUAACCUAC